rnacentral:lncRNA from 1 species
UGUUUCUUGCACAUUAUUGCAUGCAUACAUGGUCUUAUCACGUGGUGCUUGACAGAUCCACAUUGCGGAAAUAAUUAUGGAAUAUUGAAGAACAAUAAUGCUACUAUAUCAUUUAUUUCUCUUGUUUGACUAUUGUUAUAUAUUAUUUUUGCUAAGUCUUGUACCAUGGGUUUAAUAUGCGGAUUCAAUAUGUGGAUAAGGAUGAUUCUUCAAUGAUAUCAUUACAUACAAGGAGCCAUUUUGUUCUUUGCCAUACCAACAUUCUUUGAGCUUCUAUAUGUUCUUCUCUAUGCAUUUGUGUUUCCCAAGAUGCCAAUAAUCAAAUACUGCCAUUCGAAAACAACAUCAGAAGGACCAAAAACUGUCACAGGUGACGUUGCAGUUGUUGGCAUUCAGACCUUACCUAUAGUAGAAAAAAGAGAAUCAAAACAAUAGCGUAAAGGAAAUAAGCAAUUGAUAUAUGAAAUCAUUGAUUAUGCACUUGAUUUGUUCCUAACAUAUGUACUAACACUCUCUAUUUUCGUGGAUUCCUAUUAGAAGAUAUAGGAUCACACAGUUUAGGGGACCUACACUUCACUAAAAAGUAUGGUGAUCAAAGUUGGAGAUUGCUAUAUCCAUAAACUUGUGUGGCAAAGAAGAAGAUAUUGGGAACAUAACUAGUAAUGGUUCUCCAACUUUUUGAAAUGGACGAUGAGAACCUGACAAAACAUAAACUAAACAUCAAGUAGACUAGAUAUUUUCCUUGCAAAACUGUUAUAAAUCAAGGCGGUAAUG